UACGUAGGUGGCAAGCGUUGUCCGGAGUUAUUGGGCGUAAAGCGCGCGCAGGCGGUGCGGUAAGUCUCUGGUGAAAGCGCUCGGCUUAACUGGGCGAGGGCCGGGGAGACUGCCACGCUGGAGGGGAGCAGAGGCGAGUGGAAUUCCGGGUGUAGUGGUGAAAUGCGUAGAGAUCCGGAAGAACACCGGUGGCGAAGGCGGUCUGCUGGGCCAAGACUGACGCUGAGGCGCGACAGCGUGGGGAGCAAACAGG
rnacentral:rRNA from 1 species